rnacentral:rRNA from 1 species
UACGUAGGGGGCAAGCGUUGUCCGGAUUUAUUGGGCGUAAAGAGCGUGUAGGCGGCCAUACAGGUCCGUUGUGAAAACUGGAGGCUUAACCUCCAGACGUCGAUGGAAACCGUAUGGCUAGAGUCCGGAAGAGGAGAGUGGAAUUCCUGGUGUAGCGGUGAAAUGCGCAGAUAUCAGGAAGAACACCCGUGGCGAAGGCGGCUCUCUGGAUCGUUGCUGACGCUGAUACGCGAAAGCGUGGGGAGCAAACAGG